rnacentral:lncRNA from 1 species
GUUACUAGAGGAGAGGAGAAGCUCCGUGCAGGGGAAUCCGGGAUGCUGGAAAGCUGGGGAAUUUAAUACAGAGCUGGCUCUGCUCCAUCCUGGAUCUUCUUUAUGUUCUUUGACAAUGUGCCAGAAACCCUGACAAUGAACCGCUGUCUCUGACUAAUUGUUCUAGUGGAGAUGUCUCCUGUUUGACUUGAUUUUAAACUGUGGAGCACGUCAAGAGAAAGCUCACUGAUCUGCCGAGGGUUUGUGCUUUUCUGUCUUCAUGCAUCUGUUGUGGGUGAAGAGAGCAAAGAUUCUUCAUUCAAUCAAAGGCCCCCUUUGGAGAUGCUGAGAAGGAAAUUUCCUUUGGAAAUUCCCAAAGGAAUUGGGCUGUCUCUCUCUCUUUCUCUGGUUGCAUUUCACCAGCUAAGGAGUUGCAUUGGCUUCUGCUCUCCUCUCUUGCUCACCUACAUUGUGAGGCAGAUGAGAGUGGAGGUUGUAAAUCACCCUCCAUGCAAUGGUUCAUCAUAAAGGAUAUGGAGCAAAAUUAGAGGAGGCACGAGAAGGAAAGCCGGUGAUGAACAAGGAAAGUGCCUGGUUGAAGCUAGCUUGCAAUCCCAAAGUCAGAAGGUUGCCUGGGAAGCCAUGAAACAAAGCCAAAUCAAGGCAAAGCAGACACAUGGAGAUUUUGAGACUGAGAAGAGGAAAACUGAGGACAUUCAUGUGAGAUGGUUUCAAGUUUCCCUUAGAAGGAGAAGUUAUCUUCAGAAGGUCAGGUUGGUGAGGUGGGAGUUCAAAAACAACAAAGUAUGUAGCUACCAUUGUGAGGAAGACCAUGGAAAAUGGACGAAUCAGAAUGAAAGGCUUUCUGAACAAGACCCAGAGACAGAAGCAGAUAAUGCAAGUGUCAUCUACAUCUGGCAAAAGCCAAAGGUUUGGAAGAUGGAAAAAGGAAUCCAGGCAAAAAGGAGCCCAAGAUUGAAGUGAAUGACCAGGUGCACCAGUUCAAAUGCAAUCAGGAGGGACAGGGGUAGAGGGAGAAGCCUAGAGCAGCGCUUCUCAAACUGACUAUUCAAGUCACCUGGAGAUCUUGGUGAAAUGCAGACUCUGGUGCAGUAGGUCCUGGCGGGAACUUGAAAUUCUGCAUUUUGACCAAGGUCCAAGGUGAAUGUCCAGUGCUGUUGUCCUUGGCCUGCAGCAGGAGGAGCAGGGAUCUAAGACUUGGAGAGCAAAUGUCAAGCUCAGAAGAAAGACUGGAAGUUUGGGGACAAAACCCAAAUAUGGCUAAAGAAAGCCUGUAGGAUGAAGUUGGAAGUUCCAGAGCCUUCUCUUCACAUAAUGGGACAUGCAAGGGGGAAACCAAAUCAAAAGUGUAGAAUGCGUCGCUGGAUGUCUUUGACAUGGUGAGGUCUUGUUCCUAACGGAGCUUUUCCUCUUGGUCACAUUACCUCUGAAGGUAUCUAGGGCCCCAUACUCUAUUCCGGGGGUGCUGUGGCCCACAUGGGUCUGCAUGGUCAGACAGUGGCUAAAGCAAAUUCUCUGGCUGCAGAAGAGCCUCAGUCCUUCUGUCUGAUUGGCUGGCAACAUGACCAUGAGUGUGCCCUAGCAGAUGGCCAUGAGGAGGACAACUGGGCACAAACUGGGCAGCCAUGUGGCACUGGGAUGAAUGGCAUCACUCCCAAGACCUGGAGCCUCUUGAUCUCACUUAGCUCCUGUCUCCAUGGUCCCUCUUCUUCCUCUCUCCUUCAGGGGUGGAGUCUUAAUUUAUCUGACAGCAGAGAAAAAAUGUGUUCUGCAGGUAUAUGC